ACUUAUGGUAUGAUAGUGAAGUACCUAUGUUAUGAUUGUUGAUGGUUAAGCCUUUUGUCUAUAAAGUUCUCUUUCAGGAAAAAAAUUUCAUUGUUAUCAAUUGAGCUUUUAAUGGUUUUUGAUAUUUCCCUUCCCCUGCAACAAUCCUUCCUAUGGGAACUUCCUCUGGCGCUCUUAAGAUGGUGGAUACCUACCUAAAAGGAACUAGUGCCUCUCUUUGCAAAUAGGAAGUUUCUUGCUGUCCCAUGGCAAUUUAGCGAUGACAGUAUGAACGCCUAUGCACAGUAUAUACUGAAUGCAUGGUUAAUUCUUUUGAUGCUCGAUUUGGUUGCUUAAAUUCUCGGGAUUUAUGUUUAUACUCUUCCACUUAAUAAACAUCAGAUCUGUCCCAUGUUCGAGACAAUAAUGGAAGACUAGCAAUCUUAGCUUCUUGUAUAGGAAUUACAGAAAAGUCCCAAUGGACUUAAUGAAGUCAUGACUCAUAUGCAGAAAUUUUGUAGUUGCUAAACUUCUGGGAAAUGCAUCUAUGCUCAUUGGAUUGGAUGCUUCAUGAUUCUGUUGUACAGUGCAAACUCUGAUUGUAUUAGGAUUAGGACUGCAUGAACAGUGCUGAAAGAAUGUGGUUUAUUUUGAUUGCAUAAAAUUGUCAGUCUUUCAGCAUGUGAGAACUGGUUAUUCAAAUUUACUUUUCCUUUAAUUUCUAUAACUAGCUUCUCUUACGAAUUUUGAGGUGAAACUUAGGAUUGGAUAUUUUUGAGUAAAUUGCAGUGGCAUUCCUGAGAGUUUGUUAAGAACAAACAGAAUAUACUUCUCCAAUGCGGCAUGUAAUAAUGACAAUAAUAAUUUCAAAAACAAUGGAGAGAAACCUUGCAUUGGAGUAAGUUUGUAAUGUUGACAACGAUUUAGAUCAAGGAGGUAAGUGUUAGUCUAAGGGGAUGCAUGUGUUAUUACACAAAAUCUCAAAGAGGUUACUGUAUUUGUAGUAAUAUAUCCUCUUAUCUAAAUGUGUCUUUGGUUACACCUUAUCUUGGAAUCAAAUACAAAGUCCACUUUAUUGUUGAAUGUAAACCUAUUUUGUUGACUUUUUAAAUCAUAUAAUCCAAACAUGUGAAAGCUAGCUGUCUGCCUUGGUGUCUAAUGCUUCAAGCAUGACUCUUAAUGCUUAUAUAUCAUGUACUCUUUUGAAUGAGAUGGAAAAGACGGUCUCCAAAUUUGUUUUGGAUUUGACAGGGACGACUCCAUAGUUUGAAAUCUAUCUGCCAAUUUUUUAAAAUGUAGAAAUUUGAGGAUGACCAUUUUACCCUCUCUCUCUCUCUCUCUCUCUCAGUGUUUGGUCCUGGCUAGUAGCUAGGCUGUUGAUAGCAUGACAACGGACAUUGACGCUGGCUUUGACUUCAUUCUUGGUCUUGUGUAUCCUUUGGAAUAUUGCUAGGUUCAGCCUAAUCAUUCUAAUUAAGAAUUGAUUGUGUGGAAAACGAAU